GAGACUUCACAGAUGUCGAUGUUUCUUGCAUUAACGAGGUCGAUCUGUUUCUGAGCCAUGUAUUACACUGCCUCAAUCGAACCUCAACCUUUAACAUGACGUCUAGAAAGUUUUACUGGGCAGAGGAAUGUGAUAUUUGUAUCAAUCUGAAGAUUGACACUAAUUUUAUUGUUUGUUCAGUCUGUAAAAACGAACUUUGUCAGAAUUAUUUCAUGAACUUGACAAGUCCAGAGUGUCCAGAUUAUAGAGGGCCACUCUACCUGACAGAGGAAAUGGUGACGGAGGCCUGACACAACUUUAAUCUAAUAUUUUAUGAUGUGGAUGCUUUUCGAAUAGUCGAAUACUACUAUGUUGUCGAGGAUGAAGAAGACAUCUAUGGAUACAUGGAAUUGGGGGAUUUCAACAAUCCCUCUUCUAAUGGAGCAAGAUGUAUCAACCACUCAUUUGCCUGGAAUUACAUCGAGCAACAAUAACAACACUGGUUAUACUGGCCAAUAGUAUUUAAAUGAGGUUCAACCCAUACGAAACGUGUGAAUACGUCAAUGACAACAAGGAGAAACCGAUAACCAGAUUUCUGCUUUGAAAGGGAGGAAACGUCUGCAAGAUACGUCGUAUUGCUCGAAGGGACCCGAAACGUCUAGUCGUGCUCGCUUAAAAGAACGUCUUGGAGGUUUCUGUAAACUGUUAUCGUCGAGACUUUGUCUAGUUUUAAGACCUGGCGAUUUAUAUCCUUGCAAUGUUAAUAUCUGAUGUACUUUCGUGGGACUGAGAAAUGCGUCACCAUUCUUAAAGUCAUAAUACACCGCAUUUAUGCGUCUUCUUUCAUCUUCUAUCAACAUAAUGAUAAUGAGACAAACAUUUAUGUAUAUACUCUUUUAUUACAAAUAAAAAUAUUUUACA